AGAGUUUGAUCCUGGCUCAGAUUGAACGCUGGCGGCAUGCCUUACACAUGCAAGUCGAACGGUAACGCGGGGGCAACCCUGGCGACGAGUGGCGAACGGGUGAGUAAUACAUCGGAACAUAUCCAGUAGCGGGGGAUAACCUAUCGAAAGAUGGACUAAUACCGCAUACGAUCUACGGAUGAAAGCAGGGGACCGCAAGGCCUUGCACUAUUGGAGUGGCCGAUGUCGGAUUAGCUAGUUGGUGGGGUAAAGGCUUACCAAGGCGACGAUCCGUAGCUGGUCUGAGAGGACGAUCAGCCACACUGGAACUGAGACACGGUCCAGACUCCUACGGGAGGCAGCAGUGGGGAAUUUUGGACAAUGGGCGCAAGCCUGAUCCAGCCAUGCCGCGUGAGUGAAGAAGGCCUUCGGGUUGUAAAGCUCUUUCGGUGAAGACGAAACGGUUAGCGCUAAUAACGCUGACUAAUGACGGUACUCACAGAAGAAGCACCGGCUAACUACGUGCCAGCAGCCGCGGUAAUACGUAGGGUGCAGGCGUUAAUCGGACUUACUGGGCGUAAAGCGUGCGCAGGCGGUUUGCUAAGACAGGUGUGAAAUCCCCGGGCUUAACCUGGGAAUUGCGCUUGUAACUGGCAAGCUAGAGUGUGGCAGAGGGGGGUGGAAUUCCACGUGUAGCAGUGAAAUGCGUAGAUAUGUGAGGAACACCGAUGGCGAAGGCAGCCCCCUGGGUUAACACUGACGCUCAUGCACGAAAGCGUGGGGAGCAAACAGGAUUAGAUACCCUGGUAGUCCACGCCCUAAACUAUGUCAACUAGUUGUCGGGGAAGAAAUUCCUUGGUAACGAAGCUAACGCGUGAAGUUGACCGCCUGGGGAGUACGGCCGCAAGGUUAAAACUCAAAGGAAUUGACGGGGACCCGCACAAGCGGUGGAUUAUGUGGAUUAAUUCGAUGCAACGCGAAAAACCUUACCUACCCUUGACAUGCUAGGAAGCCCGCAGAGAUGUGGGUGUGCCCGAAAGGGAACCUAGACACAGGUGCUGCAUGGCUGUCGUCAGCUCGUGUCGUGAGAUGUUGGGUUAAGUCCCGCAACGAGCGCAACCCUUGCCAUUAGUUGCUACAUUCAGUUGGGCACUCUAAUGGGACCGCCGGUGACAAACCGGAGGAAGGUGGGGAUGACGUCAAGUCCUCAUGGCCCUUAUGGGUAGGGCUUCACACGUAAUACAAUGGUCGGUACAGAGGGCUGCCAACCCGCAAGGGGGAGCUAAUCCCAGAAAGCCGAUCGUAGUCCGGAUUGUAGUCUGCAACUCGACUGCAUGAAGCCGGAAUCGCUAGUAAUCGCGGAUCAGCAUGUCGCGGUGAAUACGUUCCCGGGUCUUGUACACACCGCCCGUCACACCAUGGGAGUGGGUUCCACCAGAAGUAGUUAGCCUAACCGCAAGGAGGGCGAUUACCACGGUGAGAUUCAUGACUGGGGUGAAGUCGUAACAAGGUA
rnacentral:rRNA from 1 species